UGGGCUCGUUGAGCUUCUUAGCUCUGUGA
rnacentral:piRNA from 1 species